rnacentral:snoRNA from 1 species
GGUUCGAUGCCACGUCGCCGAUAGCAUAUUGUAGCAGUGACCGGCGAUGCUAUGAUUGAACCGAAAUCGAUUCAAUUUCGCAUUAUAUAGGAACCUAUGUAUGGAUUCUCCAUUCCUUCAUAGAGCCGUUUUGUGCGAUUACAUUU